rnacentral:rRNA from 1 species
UACGAAGGGAGCUAGCGUUGUUCGGAAUCACUGGGCGUAAAGCGCACGUAGGCGGCCUGUUAAGUCGGAUGUGAAAGCCCCGGGCUCAACCCGGGAAGUGCAUUCGAAACUGGCGGGCUUGAAUAUGGAAGAGGGUCGCGGAAUUCCCGGUGUAGAGGUGAAAUUCGUAGAUAUCGGGAGGAACACCAGUGGCGAAGGCGGCGCCUGGGCCAAUAUUGACGCUGAGGUGCGAAAGCGUGGGGGAGCAAAACAGG